UACGGAGGGUGCGAGCGUUAAUCGGAAUAACUGGGCGUCAAGGUCACGCAGGCGGGCUUUUAAGUGAGAUGUGAAAUCCCCGUGCUUAACCUGGGAAUAGCAUUUCAGACUGGGAGUCUAGAGUACUUUAGGGAGGGGUAGAAUUCCACGUGUAGCGGUGAAAUGAGUAGAGAUGUGGAGGAAUACCGAAGGCGAAGGAAGCCCCUUGGGAAUGUACUGACGCUCAUGUGCGAAAGCGUGGGGAGCAAACAGG
rnacentral:rRNA from 1 species